rnacentral:lncRNA from 1 species
UCCAAGCUCUGACGUUUCACCCUCAGCUGACAGUAAGCACUCAGCUGAGUGCUCAUCCACAAGUAAAUUCGUCAGGCACUCGGCAUCAGUAGUUUCUGAUGAAUCAAUCUUCUACAUAAGCAGCAGUGCUGAGAUUACAAAGAACGCACAAGAGUCAACCAGCAACACUAUGCAAACAGAGGAUGUUGACAUAAUUAAGGACAAAUGUUGCAUUAAGAAUGGCACAGUACGCCUGAAAAAACUGGCUUUGUCUCAACUGAAUUAUGAACAACUUAAAGAGUUCACACAACAGAAUGAGUCUCAUUGGACUUUUAAUGAGGGAUCUGCUGAUCCUAAUGCAGAGAUUGAAAAUGACCACACAUAUUACAUCAACACACCAAAACAUCUCGUGAAUGUAGGUGCAAUACAGUCUAAUGACCUAGAAACAAAAAAGGUUCCAAUGUCCACAAGAGCUCUAAAGGUGAAUUGUCUGAGUAACAAACUUGCUGUUACUAAUCAAUGUGUGCAGGUGCUUGGACCAGCUAUCUCGUUCUCAACCCCAGUGAGGGCGAGUGCACUCAACCUCUCCUCAGUUUUGGCCGACAUGACGCCAAGUUCAAACACCUGGAGCAGACUUAAAGCCGCCCUCUCUAUUCACCGCAAAGGCAUGGUGCUAUUAACGCCAAGGACUGUGGCAGCGUCCGGCUCUCCUGGAAGGGAAGCUCUAGCAGAUCUCAGCAGGGAUCUCUUCGCCCCGCCCUUCCGGACCCCGCUCCCCAAACACCUGCAGUCACAGCUGCAUAGAAACGAUUCUCUGGUACAACACAGUAGUAUUUGCAGCUUUGCCUUGCAGUACUUUAUGUGUAUACAUAAAUGCCCUUUUUUUAUUUUAGCGUCCAUGGGUGGUCUUUUGGCCUUUAUUAAGGUACAUCUUAAAUCCCAAUGAAAUGCAUGGAUGUCGUUCUUGUCUUUCUUGACAGACUGUGUGUGAGGACCUUUCGGAUGCAGAGAAAGUGUAUGCAGAGUGUGGUCAGCCACGUGCCCUUCCCUGGGAGGAGUGUAUUCUCCCUCACCGGAUGAAAAAGUGUGUAAAGAUAGGAGAAGGGACCUUUGGUGAAGUCUUCUCCACAACCAAUGCCUCAGGAGACACUGUUGCUCUCAAAGUAUGUGGGGUUUUUUUCCACAUAAUGUUGUGGAGUAGCGCUGACAUACUUUUGGUAACGGCUGGUAUUAACAGCGAUUCUUGUCGUGCCAGAUCAUUCCCAGUAGAGGGCAGUGAGAAGGUGAAUGGAGAGGAUCAGAAGACAUUUGGAGAGAUCCUGCAUGAGAUUAUUAUCUCAAAGUAAUUGCAGAAACUGCACGCCACACUUGAAGGGAUACAAUAAAAGCCUGUCACUAGCAUUCGCCCCUUGAAAA